rnacentral:rRNA from 1 species
AAACACGGACCAAGGAGUCUAACAUGUGCGCGAGUCAUUGGGCUGUAAAACCCAGAGGCGCAAUGAAAGUGAAGGUCUCGCCUUGCGCGGACCGAGGGAAGAUGGAGCGCGCGUCAGCGUGUCUUCCGCAUUCCCGGGGCGUCUCGUUCUCAUUGCGAGUUGAGGCGCACCCAGAGCGUACACGUUGGGACCCGAAAGAUGGUGAACUAUGCCUGGCCAGGACGAAGUCAGGGGAAACCCUGAUGGAGGUCCGUAGCGAUUCUGACGUGCAAAUCGAUCGUCGGAGCUGGGUAUAGGGGCGAAAGACUAAUCGAACCAUCUAGUAGCUGGUU